CCUACGGGGGCAGCAGUGGGGAAUAUUGCACAAUGGGGGGAACCCUGAUGCAGCGACGCCGCGUGGGUGAAGGAGUAUUUCGGUAUGUAAAGCCCUAUCAGCAGGGAAGAACAAUGACGGUACCUGACUAAGAAGCACCGGCUAAAUACGUGCCAGCAGCCGCGGUAAUACGUAUGGUGCAAGCGUUAUCCGGAUUUACUGGGUGUAAAGGGAGCGCAGGCGGCGCGUUAAGCCUGGUGUGAAAGCCCGCGGCCCAACCGCGGGACUGCAUUGGGAACUGGCGCGCUGGAGUGCCGGAGGGGGAGGCGGAAUUCCUAGUGUAGCGGUGAAAUGCGUAGAUAUCAGGAGGAACACCGGCGGCGAAGGCGGCCUGCUGGACCGCGACUGACGUUGAGGCUCGAAAGCGUGGGGAGCGAACAGGAUUAGAUACCCGAGUAGUC
rnacentral:rRNA from 1 species